rnacentral:rRNA from 1 species
UACGUAGGGGGCAAGCGUUGUCCGGAAUCAUUGGGCGUAAAGAGCGUGUAGGCGGCCCGAUAAGUCCGCCGUGAAAGCCCAGGGCUCAACCCUGGGAUGCCGGUGGAUACUGGUCGGGCUAGAGUUCGGAAGAGGCAAGUGGAAUUCCUGGUGUAGCGGUGAAAUGCGCAGAUAUCAGGAGGAACACCUAUGGCGAAGGCAGCUUGCUGGGACGACACUGACGCUGAGACGCGAAAGCUAGGGGAGCAAACGGGG